rnacentral:rRNA from 1 species
GAUGAACGCUGACAGAAUGCUUAACACAUGCAAGUCGAUGAGAAGACUCCCUUCGGGGAGAGGGUAUCAUGGCGGACGGGUGAGUAACGCGUAAAGAACUUGCCAUAUGGACAGGGAUAACCGAUGGAAACGACGGAUAAGACCUGAUAUAAUGAAUUAAUGGCAUCAUUGAUUCAUGAAAAGCAAUGCCAUAUGAGAGCUUUGCGUCCUAUUAGCUAGUUGGUAGUGUAACGGACAACCAAGGCGAUGAUAGGUAGCCGGCCUGAGAGGGUGGACGGCCACAAGGGGACUGAGAUACGGCCCUUACUCUUACGGGAGGCAGCAGUGGGGAAUAUUGGACAAUGGAGGUAACUCUGAUCCAGCAAUUCUGUGUGCACGACGAAGGUCUUCGGAUUGUAAAGUGCUUUAAGUUGGGAAGAAAAAAAUGACGGUACCAACAGAAUAAGCGACGGCUAAAUACGUG